rnacentral:rRNA from 1 species
UACGAAGGGGGCUAGCGUUGUUCGGAAUUACUGGGCGUAAAGCGCGCGCAGGCGGCUAUCCAAGUCAGUGGUGAAAUCCUGGAGCUCAACUCCAGAACUGCCUUUGAUACUGAAGAUCUUGAGUUCGGGAGAGGUGAGUGGAACUGCGAGUGUAGAGGUGAAAUUCGUAGAUAUUCGCAAGGACACCAGUGGCGAAGGCGGCUCACUGGCCCGAUACUGACGCUGAUGCACGAAAGCGUGGGGGAGCAA